rnacentral:lncRNA from 1 species
CCAAACACCCCUCAGCCUACCAUGAAAAUAAACACAGAUCUUGAGUUCCUUUAAAGGAAAUUCUAGCUAUCUAUCUAGCCUCCUGAGCAACUUGAUAAGCAAUAAGAUAAUAGUAGCUUGUCACAAUAGCCAAGGAAGUUAGAGUCAGGAAAUGUUUUGUUCAUAUAGAAACUAAAGAAAACAUUUUAUGUUUUUUUUUUUUUUUAACUUUUAGGUUCGGAGGUACAUGUGAAGGUUUGUUACACAGAUCAAAUUAUUACUACUACUGAAGCAAGACACUUUUGUGUAUUCUCCUCACGCUUAUUGAGUCUUGACGUUUCUCAAAGUGGCUGGUGAGAGUAAACACUAUUCCUGGAUCUGGGUGAGUGUGUAUUUUUUCUAGUCUUCUCGUGAUUAUUUGAUCAUCUAGUUUUCUUACACACAUGUGUUGAUCAGUCCUCAGCUGAAUAGUCAAACCACAGGUACCCUUUGAAGAUCCCCAUGGUUCUCACUCCAUACAGCAUUCUCCUCUUUGGUACUCUUUCCUGAGAACUGUGACUGCCUCAGUUACCUAGGGCUUCUCUU